UAAAACAGCUGCAAUCGACUAGCUGUGCGUUUUGCUGCUCUGGUCUUACAGCUGUCUGAUGAUGGUGAAACCUCCCUGAUUACGUUGUAGGGGAGGUCACAAGCUGUCCAAUGAUACCUUGACUUUGUUUGUAGCCCAAUCCAUUACAGAGUAAUCGAUCUGCGCAGUAAACAUACCCCUAUCUAUUGCAACCGAGUGCGCAGCGGUAUGCACAACGGAUCACGGUUUUAUAACAUUUUCUGAUCAUUUUUCAAUUUAUAAAAUUUGUAAAAUCGAACAAAAUGUCGAGCAGUGUUCCAAAGCAUCCUAAACAAAGUAGAUUCAGUCUUUCUGAAGUUUUGGAAGAGAUGGAUAGGAGUGAAAGUGAUUGCGAAAAUGAUCAACUUCCUGGUUUGGCGAGCGUUGAUUCAGUGUCUGAAGCAGCAUUGAAGAUGGAUUGGAUCCUCUUCAGAAUUUUGAGGACACUGAAGAAAACCCUCCCCCCUCAACAAAUGGCUAACACAGAUCCGGAGCUGUCGCCAAGGGCCAGCACUAAACCGGACAUGCACGUCACCAUUGUCACGGAUAUAAACUUGUAUCACCCACCAUGAGCACUACUGCACACACCCAGGACUGGUGACCGUGUUUGCAUUAUUCUGGGGUGGAUAUCUUUUAUUAUUUGUUAUUUACCCCGUGCUGUACACAUUGGUGUGUAUUGCCAGGGAUUUAUUGUUUAAUUCUAUUUUAAUGCAUUCAAUAAAACAAAGCAUUUUUGUUUCAA